rnacentral:rRNA from 1 species
CCUACGGUGGACUGCAGUGGGGAAUAUUGCACAAUGGGGGGAACCCUGAUGCAGCGACGCCGCGUGGGUGAAGGAGUACUUCGGUACGUAAAGCCCUAUCAGCAGGAAAGAAAAUGACGGUACCUGACUAAGAAGCCCCGGCUAACUACGUGCCAGCAGCCGCGGUACUACGUAGGGGGCAACCGGUAUCCGGAUUUACUGGGUGUAAAGGGAGCGUAGACGGCAGGGCAAGUCCGUAGUGAAAGCGCGGGGCUCAACCCUGAGACUGCUCUGGAAACUGUAAAGCUGGAGUGCGGGAGGGGCGGGCGGAAUUCCUGGUGUAGCGGUGAAAUGCGUAGAUAUCAGGAGGAACACCGGCGGCGAAGGCGGCCUGCUGGACCGUAACUGACGUUGAGGCUCGAAAGCGUGGGGAGCAAACAGGAUUAGAUACCCUGGUAGUC